rnacentral:misc_RNA from 1 species
CUCCACGAUGCUGCGUUGGAUCUUUGCAGCGUUCCUGAUGUACGUCUCCGUCGACAUGUGGCGACAGGGACGGAGUGAGACGCCUCGCCGCGUCGACGUGCCGACGUCCCGCUAUCGCCUGGCGGGUGGAUUCAUCGGGCUGGCUGGCAGCCUCAUCGGCGCCGGUGGUACAGGCCUGCUCGUGCCCUUCCUCACCAAGCGUGGCCAUUCCAUGGCCCACGCAGUAGCUACCUCCACCGUGGUCGGCGUACCUCUCUCCGUUCUGGGCACGAUGGCCUACGCGGCGCAGCCCAGCUCGGUG